rnacentral:lncRNA from 1 species
AAUGGAACAUCAUAAACAGUGGGACAGUUGUCUGCCUUCUUGACGUCAGCAUAUUUGGGUUCAUUAUCGGCUGGACUUUUGUCAGAUUUAAUACUUUGUUAGCUGUGGUUGAGGGGAGUGUGGUUGGCUGAGGACACUGGCACAUACAUCACUCAUUUCUGCCCACAGUGCAGUGCAGAGACAGGCUAUGUGAUUGUUCCUAUGCUCAGUGGAAGUUUGUCUCAAUGGAAAAGUUGUUUCAAAAUAUUGGCAUUUUCUGUAGCAGAAAAUAAGAAAUGAAGUGUUAAAUUUUGGGUCACAGUGUACAAAAACACUAUGGGAAAAACAGCAUGCAUUGUUCCUGCUGAUGAAAACCCAAUAAACAACAAAACAAAGGCCCACUGAAGCCAAAGGAUCUGCUAGAGACAAAUGUGAAGUCCUGUUUAAGAGAAAAGAAGCAAUAAAUCUGCACAGCACUAACAGGUUCACAGAAAUGAUAACUUCAGGAGAGCCUGUGGGAGAGGAUGAAUUCUGCUGCAGCCUUUCUACAUCAAAAAAAGAUCCUUUUCAGCACAAGAUCCUAAUGCUACUACUGAAGUGCAAGUUCUUAUAUCAUCACUGUGGAUGCUUCUUACUUCAGAGAACAAGAGAAAGGAAAUGUUUUGUUCUGCAGAUUUGUUUCUUUAUUUUGAUAUUUAAAUUAAAAUGUUGAAUUUUAUUGUGUGCUUUAUAUCUUCUUUUAAACCCUUCUGAAAUAAAGAGUGUAUUGCUCACUCUGAAUGAGUAAAA